rnacentral:rRNA from 1 species
CACCGCCCGUCACACCGUGGGAGUCAGCUGCUCUAGAAGUCGGUGCGCCAACCUCGGAGGCAGCCGCCUAAAGAGUGACUGGUGACUGGGGUG